rnacentral:rRNA from 1 species
AGCAGUAGCCGCGGUAAUACGAAGGGGGCUAGCGUUGCUCGGAAUGACUGGGCGUAAAGGGCGCGUAGGCGGUUUUGACAGUCAGAUGUGAAAUUCCUGGGCUUAACCUGGGAAUGGCAAUGGAUACUGGCAAGCUAGAGUGUGUCAGAGGAUGGUGGAAUUCCCGGUGUAGCGGUGAAAUGCGUAGAGAUCGGGAGGAACAUCAGUGGCGAAGGCGGCCAUCUGGGACAACACUGACGCUGAGGCACGAAAACGUGGGGAGCAAACAGGAUUAGAUACCCCUGUAGUCCCUGUCUCUUAUAC